rnacentral:misc_RNA from 1 species
AAUUCUCAACUCUGAAUCGAUUUGUUUCGAUUCGGGGCUUGGAUUUGGAGCGUGCUGGCGUCGGUCGGCUCCUCUUAAACAUAUCAGCGGAAAUCUAACGUUUCGGGCGUCAGUGUGAUAAUCAUGUUGCGCUGUCACCCGAUGUGAUAGGCCCGCUCACAAUGGUCUUCGGACAACUUCAUAUCAA